CUGCGCCACGAGUGGUGGUCGCGAUUAUUGGGCCUAAAGCAUCCGUAGCCGGCGCUGUAAGUUUUCGGUUAAAUCUGUACGCUCAACGUACAGGCUGCCGGGAAUACUGCAGCGCUAGGGAGUGGGAGAGGUAGACGGUACUCGGUAGGAAGGGGUAAAAUCCUUUGAUCUAUUGAUGACCACCUGUGGCGAAGGCGGUCUACCAGAACACGUCCGACGGUGAGGGAUGAAAGCUGGGGGAGCAAACCGGAUUAGAGACCCGAGUAGUCC
rnacentral:rRNA from 1 species